rnacentral:rRNA from 1 species
GGCCACUGCUAUCGGGCUCCGACUAAGCCAUGCGAGUUUAGGGGCUCUUCGGAGCACCGGCGGACUGCUCAGUAACACGUGGACAACCUACCCUCGGGUGGGGGAUAACCUCGGGAAACUGAGGCUAAUACCCCAUAGACCUCAGAUACUGGAAUGUUCUGAGGCUGAAAGCUCUGGCGCCCGAGGAUGGUUCUGCGACCUAUCAGGUAGUUGGUGGUGUAAAGGACCACCAAGCCCACGACGGGUACGGGCCCUGAGAGGGGAAGCCCGGAGAUGGACUCUGAGACACGAGUCCAGGCCCUACGGGGCGCAGCAGGCGCGAAACCUUCGCAAUGUGCGAAAGCGCGACGAGGGGAGCCCGAGUGCCCUUCCUUCGGGGAGGGCUUUUCUGGAGCCUAAAAAGCUUCAGGAAUAAGGGCUGGGCAAGACGGGUGCCAGCCGCCGCGGUAAUACCCGCAGCUCAAGUGGUGGCCGCUUUUAUUGAGCCUAAAGCGUCCGUAGCCGGACCCGUAAAUCCCUGGGUAAAUCCUGGCGCUCAACGUCAAGAAUUCCGGGGAGACUGCGGGUCUUGGGACCGGGAGAGGCUGGAGGUACUCCCGGGGUAGCGGUGAAAUGCUGUAAUCCUGGGGGGACCACCUGUGGCGAAAGCGUCCAGCUUGAACGGCUCCGACGGUGAGGGACGAGGGCCAGGGGAGCGAACCGGAUUAGAUACCCGGGUAGUCCUGGCUGUAAACGCUGCCCGCUUGGUGUUGUCCUUCUUUCGGAGGAGGGCAGUGCCGGAGCGAAGGUGUUAAGCGGGCCGCUUGGGAAGUACGGCCGCAAGGCUGAAACUUAAAGGAAUUGGCGGGAGAGCACAGCAACGGGAGGAGCGUGCGGUUU